rnacentral:rRNA from 1 species
GACGAACGCUGGCGGCGGGCUUAACACAUGCAAGUCGAACGGAAAGGCCCUGCUUUUGUGGGGUGCUCGAGUGGCGAACGGGUGCGUAACACGUGAGUAACCUGCCCUUGACUUUGGGAUAACUUCAGGAAACUGGGGCUAAUACCGGAUAGGAGCUCCUGCUGCAUGGAGGGCGUUGGAAAGUCUCGGCGGUUGGGGAUGGACUGGCGGCUGAUGAGCUUGUUGGUGGGGUAGUGGUUUACCCAGCGUUUGACCGGUAGCCGGCACGGGAGGGUGAACGGGGACAAGACUCCUGAGGUAGGGACCAGUCGGGAACGGUGGGCAGUAGUGGCAAGUAUGACACAGUGGUACGACGUCUGAGGCGGCGGCGCCGCGGUCGUGAUGACGGUCUGCUGGGAGAGAACCGCUUUCGCCUGUGACGAAGCGUGAGUGACGGUAAUGAGUAAAGAAGCACCGGCUAACUACGUG